UGCGCAGUGUCCAGAUUGUCAACAUUUAGUUCAGUAUGAUGUUACUUCUGGCCAGCUUAACCUGAGGAGAAAGUCAGUACAGUACACGAUUAGAUUUUGAAAAGGAAACUGCAAAAUCUCAUGGUGUUGUCCCGACCUCCGUAAAGUGUCAUUAAUGCAAGAACGAAUGUAAGUGUCGUCAAGACCAACACAUGUGGUAACUCCAACGAGAACCAGGCCAAUAAGAUGAAGAAAGUCAAGAGUUAGUCUAAGGUAUUUCACUCAGUUUACAGUUGAGAUGGGUUCAGUCUCACAUUGUGGUAAAACUCCCCAAAGUUGGACUCGGUCUGAAUUAUCGGUGCGCAUGCCGAGUUGUAAUUGGCCGCCUGACACAACACCAGUCUCUCACCAACUGCCAGAUAAUGUGAUGGCAUCCAGCCAGUGCUGGAUUUAGGCACAAGCCUCUACAAAACCCUGGGCAGCACUCAAAUUAUUCUUGAAUCCUGACUCUACAGUACCAAAACAUCUGCUGACAUUAAACUAGGUGAGAAGCAAAGGCUACUGCAGCCAUAGGCCCAUAGGUGAAUUAUACAGUAAUUCAAUUAUGUACUGUAAUGAUACUUUUACUCAUGUCCUUACUAAUGUAUUAAUGACAGUGAAGAAGGUGAAACAAGAAGAAAGCUGAUAUUCUUCCUGAGAAAACUGAGGAACUGGAAUGUGUCUUCAUGUUCAUUAGUUAGAUCAAUUCCACAAACCACCAAGACCCUACAGGACCCACACAUUGGCCUUAGCACAUGUACAAAGCUUUACACAUUGCUCACUAACUUCUUGAAAUAAAUCCUAGAAUAUUUAGAUGAAAUUGGACUCAAAGCAAAAGGAGACCUGCCAGAUGUAGAGUACAGGUGUGUGAAUAAAAGGGAGUGAGAAAAAACAAGUCAGUGAUGGUGAUGCAGCAAAUGAUGAUGACAGGAUUUCUCCAAGAGACAAAUUUUGAGUAAAAUCCUUUAUUCCCAUGAUGGAUGCCCUUGAAAUCAGUGUGAAAAAAGACAGCCAUAUACAGUACAAUAAUGUUGCAAAAAUAUAAAUUUUUUUUGUUGAUUUAGAAGAGGAACAGUUGUGUGACAGUGUAAAGUUUCUGGUGAAAGACUAUCCUGAUGAUAUUGAUGUUAACCUUGUUGGGGAAGUAAAGCUUUUUAAUGUUUAUACCAAGAAAAAUUAUUCUAAUAAAGGAUAUUUAUGCCACUAGGACCUCUAUCAAGUCAUCGUCCAAGAUAAGAUUCAUUUGGCCUUCCCUAAUGUAGAAGCAAUAUUGUGGCUACUUUUCAGUCUAAUGGUAACAAACUGCUCAGGAGAAAGGUAAAUUCUGUAGCUGAAAAGGAUUAAGAAUGAACUAUGGACAUCAAUGCUGUGAGAAACGUUCUCUGCAUUAAGCAUUAUGUGAAUAGAAAGUGAAAAAUUUGUAGCUUAUCAUUGGACGACUUCAUCCAUGACUUUGCUUUUGGGAAAAUAUGAAAGAAAUUUUUUUAAAUUUUAUGUGAUGUUCAAACAGAAGAGACAGUGCCAGUUGCAUUACUGCUUCCAUUUACUAAGGGUUGAUCUGUGCAAUGUGUUAUGUUAAAUGUAUUCAAUUUCAUAUUUGUUGGUUAAGAAUUCAUAAGGUAUUUUAUAAUGGAAAUAAGGCUUUUCUACAAUGUAUAUGUUAUUUAGAUUAUAAACU